GGGACGAACGCUGGCGGCGUGCCUAACACAUGCAAGUCGAACGAGAAUCUUUUGGUUGAUUUCUUCGGAAUGAAAUCAAGAGAGGACAGUGGCGGACGGGCGAGUAACGCGUGAGUAACCUGCCCAUAAGAGAGGGAUAGCACUUGGAAACGGGUAGUAAUACCUCAUAUUGAUAUUGGACCGCAUGGUUUGAUAUUGAAAGAUUUAUCGCUUAUGGAUGGACUCGCGUCUGAUUAGCUAGUUGGGGAGGUAACGGCUCACCAAGGCGACGAUCAGUAGCCGAACUGAGAGGUUGAACGGCCGCAUUGGGACUGAGACACGGCCCAGACUCCUACGGGAGGCAGCAGUGGGGAAUAUUGCGCAAUGGGGGGAACCCUGACGCAGCAACGCCGCGUGCAGGAAGAAGGUCUUCGGAUUGUAAACUGUUGUCGCGAGGGAAGAAGGAAGAUGACGGUACCUCGUGAGAAAGUCACGGCUAACUACGUGCC
rnacentral:rRNA from 1 species